rnacentral:rRNA from 1 species
UACGUAGGGUGCAAGCGUUGUCCGGAAUUAUUGGGCGUAAAGAGCUCGUAGGCGGUUUGUCACGUCGGAUGUGAAAACCCGAGGCUUAACCUCGGGCCUGCAUUCGAUACGGGCUGACUAGAGUUCGGUAGGGGAGACUGGAAUCCCUGGUGUAGCGGUGAAAUGCGCAGAUAUCAGGAGGAACACCGGUGGCGAAGGCGGGUCUCUGGGCCGAUACUGACGCUGAGGAGCGAAAGCGUGGGGAGCGAACAGG